AUUUGUUUGUUCUUUAGAUCUAGUGUCAUUAAAAGUCUUAAAGCUAAAGUUAGUAAUGUUAAUUGUGAAGAAGUUAUUAAAAAGCGGGUAGAGUGACCUAGCUUGGUCCAGCGCAUCUGAAACACUACAAAAUAAGUUGAAGUUAGAAGCAAGAAAAAGGUCCACAAAGGGGCCUUUUUCUUUGUAAUUAGCAGCUUUGUUCGGAGGAGGAACGCCAUCUUUAUUCCCUCAGAACAAAGGCAAGUCUUGGGUCCUUGGAUGCCUGACCAGAGAAGCCAUCUUGGGAUUCGGUGAAUGGUAUUGAAGUCGCGGAGCAAAACCGCCGUCGAAUAGGAAGCUUCAUCCGAAGUUCCGAAGUUCCAGGUCCUCGAUAGCCAACCACGAGUGACGUAGGAAUACCCGAUCCCCUGCUGGCCUGGUGCCCUAUCAAUGGGAAUACCAACCAAGGACGCCCCGAUACGCCAUUAGCCGUUGCAGAAUCCACCCCGACCACCUCAAGGUGCCGUUAGUCCGCAGAAAGUCCACAACGCAAGAGUAAAAACCGCAAGUAGAACUAUGUGACGUCACGUUAUAGCUAGAUCAUAAGAAAUGGCCAUUU